GAUGAACGCUGGCGGCAGGCCUAACACAUGCAAGUCGAACGAACCCUUCGGGGUUAGUGGCGGACGGGUGAGUAACACGUGGGAACGUGCCUUUAGGUUCGGAAUAACUCAGGGAAACUUGUGCUAAUACCGAAUGUGCCCUUCGGGGGAAAGAUUUAUCGCCUUUAGAGCGGCCCGCGUCUGAUUAGCUAGUUGGUGAGGUAAUGGCUCACCAAGGCUACGAUCAGUAGCUGGUCUGAGAGGAUGACCAGCCACAUUGGGACUGAGACACGGCCCAAACUCCUACGGGAGGCAGCAGUGGGGAAUUUUGCGCAAUGGGCGAAAGCCUGACGCAGCCAUGCCGCGUGGAUGAUGAAGGUCUUAGGAUUGUAAAAUCCUUUCACCGGUGAAGAUAAUGACUGUAGCCGGAGAAGAAGCCCCGGCUAACUUCGUGCCAGCCGCCGCGGUAACAC
rnacentral:rRNA from 1 species